rnacentral:lncRNA from 1 species
UGAGAAUGUCAUCUUUAUAUGAAAAUGAAAUGAAUUAAUAUCAGCAAUUAGAUCAAUGUGUAAGUUAUCCUUUUACCUUCUCAUCUUCUUCAAUCCCCACUGUGAAACUGUUUGUUUAUCUGACUAGUUUUAAUUUAAUAAUAAAUCUACAUAUUCUAAUAUAUUGAAAUAAAUUGUUAAAGUUGAAAUUUAUUAUAUUGUUGUUCAGGGAGAUUGAGUACCCAAUUACAGAAAUUUUCAAACCGAAAUAAUUCUCAAUCGUAAGAAUUCCAAUCUUUAUGUUUCCCACUAACACUCUACUUUCAAUCACAUUCACAAAAAUAAUUUAUUUACAUGGAACUCUAAUCGUAAUUGGACUCUAAUGAUGGAACCUCUUUGAGAAAGAAUAACUAUGAUGGACGGAUUGGAGAAGAUUAGAAGGUGAAAUUGGAUUGAAUGUAGAAAUGCACACGUGUUAAAAUAGGUCCUUUAAUCUGUACCAUAUAUUUUGAUUUAAUGGUUGAAAUUCAUUCCUUUCAUUGCAACAUUAUAUAUAUAUAGAGAGAGAAAGAGGAGGAUGAAUAAACUUACCCUUUCUAUAAAGAUAUUCAGCUUAAUAACUCAUUAUAAACUAUAGAUUUUUACCAAUCCAAUUGUUGAAUUUAAAAUUCUUUG